AUGGAAUUUCUGAAGACUUGUGUACUUAGAAGAAAUGCGUGUACUGUGGUUUGCUUCUGGAGAAGCAAAGUUGUCCAAAGGCCUUCCAUUAGAAGGAUUAGUACUACCUCUCCAAGGAGCACUGUCAUGCCUGCUUGGGUGAUAGAUAAGUAUGGGAAGAAUGAAGUGCUUCGAUUGACUCAGAACGUGAUGAUACCUAUCAUACGCUAGCCAAAUGAAGUCACUGUAAAAGUUCACCCUGCCAGUGUAAAUCCUAUAGACGUCAAUAUGAGAAGUGGUUAUGGAGCUACAGCUUUAAAUAUGAAGCGUAAUCCUUUACACAUGAAAAUCAAAGGAGAAGAAUUUCCUCUGACUCUGAUUCGGGAUGUCUCUGGAAUGGUGAUGGAAUGUGGGCUGGAUGUGAAGUACUUCAAGCCUUGAGAUAAGGUCUGGGCUGCAGUUCCUCCUUGGAAACAAGGCACUCUUUCAGAGUUUGUUGUAGUCAGUGGAAAUGAGGUCUCUCACAAACCCAAAUCACUCACUCAUAUAUCAAGCUGCCUCUUCGCCAUAUGUGGCUCUCACAGCCUCAUCUGCCAUAAACAAAGUUGGUGACCUGAAUGACAAGAAUUGCACAGGAAGACGUGUUCUAAUCUUAGGCGCUUCAAGCGGAGUUGGUAGUUUUGCUAUACAGGUAAUGAAAGCAUGGGAUGCUCGUGUGACAGCAAUUUGCGCUCAAGAUGCCAGUGAGCUUAUAAAGAAGCUUGGGGCAGAUGAUGUAAUUGAUUACAAAUUUGGAAGUGUGGAAGAGCAGUUGAAAUCCUUAAAACCGUUUGAUUUCAUCCUUGGUAAUGUUGGCGGAUCCACUGAAACAUGGGCUCAGAUUUUCUCAAGAAAUGGUCAGGAGCCACCUAUGUGACUUUGGUGAGUCCUUUCCUCCUGAACAUGGACUGAUUGGGCAUAGCAGAUGGCAUGUUACAGGCAGGAGUCACCAUAGUCUCGAAGGCAUUAAAGCAUUUCUGGAAAGGAGUCCAUUAUCGCUGGGCGUUUUUUGUGGCCAGUGGUCCACGUUUAGGUGACAUUGCAGAACUGGUGGAUGUGGGAAAAAUUGGGCCAGUUAUUGAACAAACCUUUCCUUUUUCUAAAGUUCCAGAAGCCUUCCUUAAGGUGGAAAGAGGACACAUAUGAGGAAAGACUGUAAUUAAUGUUG
rnacentral:lncRNA from 1 species